UACGUAGGGAGCAAGCGUUGUUCGGAUUUACUGGGCGUAAAGGGCGCGUAGGCGGCAAAUUAAGUCAGCUGUGAAAUCUCCGAGCUUAACUCGGAACGGUCAGCUGAUACUGAUCUGCUAGAGUGCGGAAGGGGCAAUCGGAAUUCUUGGUGUAGCGGUGAAAUGCGUAGAUAUCAAGAGGAACACCUGAGGUGAAGACGGGUUGCUGGGCCGACACUGACGCUGAGGCGCGAAAGCCAGGGGAGCAAACGGG
rnacentral:rRNA from 1 species